rnacentral:sRNA from 1 species
UACCGCUUCCACUACAUCAACAUCCUGUCGAGGCUGCCAGAGACUCUGCCAUCCCUGGAGGAGGACACGCUGGGCAACUUCAUCUUCGCCUGCCGCUUCAACCAGGUCUCCUGCAACCAGGCGAAUUACUCUCACUUCCACCACCCGAUGUAUGGAAACUGCUAUACUUUCAAUGACAAGAACAACUCCAACCUCUGGAUGUCUUCCAUGCCUGGAAUCAACAAUGUGACUGGGGCCCGUGUAAUGGUGCACGGGCAGGAUGAACCUGCCUUUAUGGAUGAUGGUGGCUUUAACUUGCGGCCUGGCGUGGAGACCUCCAUCAGCAUGAGGAAGGAAGCCCUGGACAGACUUGGGGGUGAUUAUGGCGACUGCACCAAGAAUGGCAGUGAUGUCCCUGUCAAGAACCUUUACCCUUCAAAGUACACACAGCAG